CAGAAUGAAAAUUACAAAGAAUAUAAAAUGGGAUUAUGUUUCUUUAAGUGCAAAUUUUUGACAGCAUUACUAAACCUAUUAGAAGUUUAUUUUUUUCUUUUACUCUCAUUUGUGCUUCACUAACGCAAAGCCCAAAUUAAAUUUGAUUCAAUAAUACUUGUAAUUGGCUGCAAUAACUGUGGCAGUAACCGUUGCUGUAAUUGCUUUCUUUCCAACCCUUCGGUUGUCUGGUGUGAAGCGCAACACCUCUAGCGGGGUGGUACCAUUCACGGUGGAUAGGGAAGCAAUUAGCUUUACUAAUUAACGACAGACGGACGUUUCGCGAUGACAGCCUUCAGGCUAUUGAACUCCAGGCCUCUCCCGACUCGCUGCUACGAGCCCGCGUCUCCUCGCGCAGGGGCGGGCCGGCACCAUGGCAACGGGCGCCGGGACACGUGGGCUCGGUUCUUCCGCUUCCGGUUACCCUCUCACCCUAAGAUGGCGGCGCCCGUGGGACCGGUGAAGUUUUGGAAGCCGGGCACAGAAGGUCCUGGCGUCAGCGUCUCAGAGGAGAGGCAGAGUCCUGCUGAGAGCAGUGGAGUGACCGUCAUCUAUAAUCCUUAUGCUUCUCUGUCUAUUGAACAACAAAGACAAAAGCUGCCUGUUUUUAAGCUAAGAAAUCACAUACUUUAUCUAGUGGAGAACUAUCAAACUCUGGUGAUUGUUGGAGAAACAGGAUGUGGGAAGUCAACGCAAAUUCCACAGUACCUAGCAGAAGCUGGCUGGACAGCCGAAGGAAGAGUUGUUGGGGUGACACAGCCUCGUCGAGUUGCUGCUGUUUCAGUUGCAGGCCGAGUUGCUGAUGAAAGGUGUGCAGUGUUGGGUCAUGAAGUUGGAUACUGUAUUCGAUUUGAUGACUGCACAGAUCCACAGGCUACAAGAAUUAAGUUUCUAACUGAUGGUAUGCUGGUAAGGGAGAUGAUGGCUGAUCCUCUGUUAACAAGAUACAGUGUUCUCAUGCUGGAUGAAGCCCAUGAAAGGACUCUUUAUACAGAUAUUGCCAUUGGGUUACUAAAAAAGAUUCAAAAAAAACGUGGAGAUCUUCGACUGAUUGUGGCUUCAGCCACCUUGGAUGCAGAGAAAUUCAGGGAUUUCUUUAAUCAGAAUGAUACCGGUGAUCCCAGCAAAGACACCAGUGUGAUCCUUACUGUGGAGGGGAGAACGUUUCCAGUGGACAUCUUCUACAUACAGAGUCCUGUUCCAGAUUAUAUAAAAUCAACUGUGGAAACUGCAAUGAAAAUUCACCAGAUGGAGAAUGAUGGUGAUAUACUGGCAUUUUUAACUGGCCAGGAAGAAGUGGAGACUGUUGUUUCUAUGCUUAUAGAACAGGCUCGGGCCCUUUCUCGCACUGGAAUGAAGAAGCACCUCCGUGUUCUCCCCAUGUAUGCUGGGCUGCCUUCUCCUGAUCAGAUGAAAGUGUUUGAGAGAGUUUCUCGCAGUGUCAGGAAGGUGAUAGUAGCCACCAAUGUUGCCGAGACUUCUAUCACAAUUCAUGGAAUUGCAUUUGUAAUUGAUUGUGGUUUUGUGAAGCUUCGGGCCUAUAAUCCAAAAACAGCCAUUGAAUGCCUUGUGGUGGUACCAGUGUCUAAAGCUUCAGCUAAUCAGAGAGCAGGACGUGCAGGCCGGAACCGCUCUGGGAAAUGUUACAGGCUUUAUACAGAGGAAGACUUUGAGAAGUUGCCCAAGUCCACUGUUCCUGAGAUGCAGCGCAGUAACCUUGCGCCUGUCAUCUUGCAGCUGAAGGCUCUGGGAAUUGACAACGUGCUCAGGUUCCCCUUCCUUUCGCCACCGCCUGCACAAUCAAUGGUACAAGCUUUAGAAUUACUGUAUGCUUUAGGAGGUUUGGAUAUGCACUGCCGUUUAACUGAGCCUCUGGGAAUGAGAAUAGCAGAGUUUCCUCUGAAUCCGAUGUUUGCGAAGAUGCUUCUGGAAUCAGGAAAUUUUGGCUGCUCCCAGGAGAUUUUAACAAUUGCUGCAAUGAUGCAGAUUCAGAACAUCUUCUUGAUCCCUCCAAAUCAAAAAUCUCAAGCUGCCAGGCAACACAGAAAGUUUGCUGUGGAAGAAGGCGAUCAUCUCACUAUGCUUAAUGUUUAUGAAGCCUUUGUCAAACACAGCAAAAGUUCUCAGUGGUGUCAGGAACACUUUCUGAACUACAAAGGACUUGUUAGAGCUUCCGUUGUAAGAGAGCAGCUGAAAAAGCUUCUUGUACGCUUUAAAGUGCCAAAGAAGUCCAGUGAAGGCGAUCCAGAUCCCGUUCUCAGAUGCAUAGUUUCUGGAUUCUUUGCUAACGCAGCUAAAUUCCACUCUACUGGAGCUUACAGGACUAUCCGAGAUGACCAUGAACUUCAUAUCCACCCUACUUCAGUACUGUAUGCAGAGAAACCUCCACGCUGGGUAGUCUACAAUGAAGUCAUACAGACCGCCAAGUACUACAUGAGGGAUGUGACUGCCAUUGAAUCUGCAUGGCUCUUGGAACUGGCACCUCAUUUUUACCAGCAAGGAACGGUACGGAAUCGGCAUAAAGCCCAAACGCAUCUCUCCUUGAAAGCAAAACGGGCUAAAGUCGAUGACCACUGAUUUGAUGUGACUUCAGUCUUGUGAUGUCAGAUGCAGAAUCUACCAGCGAUUUGAAGCUGGCUACAGUCCAUCCAGCAGUCAGUUCAUUGCCAACUUGAUCUUACAUCAACUUAAAUGUUUAAAUGCCUGCCAGGAUCUGUAGGGAUUUGUGCAUGACCAGUACACUAUACACCUAUGUAGAGCUUGCAUUGUGGACAUUUUAUUCUUUGCCUAAUUGACCACUGUUGUUAACAGGAGCAACAUGCCUAGAUUAAAUAGAUAGACAAAAAAUAGAAAAGAGGACAUGCAGGACCACAAAAAAAGGAAAAAAAGGAAAAAAAAAAAAAAACCUUCAAGAGGGAAAUGGAUUUCCUGGAGUGAUGUGGCUGCCUUAUGAGAGUGGGGAAUAGGGUACCCUGCCUCUUGUUACCUAGAGCACUGUGACUACUACCGGCCAACUGAGACUGACUCCUGACAGCAGGUAGCUCAGGGCAAGCAGCUAGCCCUUGAAAUGCAAGGGACUGCCAUGGAAACAUUGAUUUCGUGUUGGACCAUACCGAACUGGUGCAGCUUGUGCUCCCAAGCAGUAAAAGUCUCUUGCCUGAUGCCGAGCUGCCUCUUGCUCCCCGUCCUUCAGUAAGUAACAUAGUAUGUAUGAUGUCUCAAUUCCAUACAAGCAUACAUGGGAAUCCUUGUCUGGGGAAGGGGAGGGAGAGUAGCUCGAUCUUUUUAAGAAUGAUUCAUUUUUUUCCUCAAUCAAGGGACCAUACACAUGUUCACAAACAGGUUUGCAAAUUCUCAGAUGGGACUUCACUCUUUUUUUUCUCCUCUCUCCCCCAAGAAGAAAAACCGUUAGCCUCUCACUGCUUGGAAACCAGAGGGCACUGGUUUUGGCCUCUCAUUCCGCAGAGAUGAAAAUGUUCUAUUCUUUCCUAGUAAGAAUCACAGUCCUAUGUAUUUCUUUUUAAUUAAGAAUUUGUCCUUUGCUGCUUGGGACUGCCUGUGUUACUGUAAGAGAAGAACGCUCUGAACAUUUGCUGCUUUAACCAGGAUUCCAUGGCUACUUUUCAGAAGAGAACUGUAUUUCAGUGUGUUUUAACAAGAUAGCGUGAAUACAUGUAUUUAUUUUUUUCUAUCAAUAUUUAUUUUAGAAACAUGUCUAAAAACUUUAUUUUUGUAAAGCAGUUGAUUUGAUGAAUGUUUUUGACGCAUUAGCCAUAAUUUUCUUUUUUAAUUAAAAAAAAAACAAACAGCACACAACACAGAAUGAAGUAUGUAAAUAGGCAAGAAUUCCUAUGUAAAGUAAAUGCCUCCUUCAUCACAGGACUGCCUUGGAAACUUUCCUGGAAGUUUCUUGACGUUCUCCUUUCCAAACACUGUGGAAGAGCACCUUCCUUCGUGUGCAGUGUGCAGUGUCUCCGUGAUGGCCAGCACAGAAAGAUGCACUGGUCCCAGUGGAUGGCACCAGUAGCGUGACACACCGUAUCACCACCUUUGUCAUUUUCACUGAUCAGAGAAAGAACCGAAUAUGGAGACUUUUAAAAUGUCCGUGUCUCUCUGUCCUCUGGAAAUAUUCUUAAGAGAAAUAAAGGCAUUGAAUCAAGGAAGCUUGAGAGCACUUCACUUCAGCAAGACUAGAGGGAACGACGUUAAAAUGCUGGAAUUAAAAUGCUGUUUGGAAAAAGCCGUGCCACCACUGCGGAGGAGAUCUCCCACCCAGGCACUGAAGAGACUUUCUUCUUUUAACCUUGACCACUUUCACAAGGUUUAGCAGGAAGAGGAGCAGUAUGGGCUCUGGCUCUCCCAUUAGCUCACAGGCUCUGGUUGCUCUCUACUUACACACAGCCUGGACUGCAGACCCACUGAGGUCAGGACUGGAGAUCAGGAACCGAGGCGUGAAAAGAUUAAAGGACUCGACAGAGGGAUGUGCUGCAGGGCUGUUUCCCCAUCGCUGCUGGAGAUGUUUCUCCCUGUGCCACAUCCCAGCAUCUACACGUUCACUUGGAGCUUCCCAUGGCAGCAGGGCAUGGCCACAAGUGCUGCAGAAGGAACCGUGUGGGGACAAGACAAGGCAGGCUGUCCCCGUGGCUGCCAUACAGAAGCACUUCACGGCGUGCUGCAAAGGCCAUAAAAUGGUAAAUAACAGAAGCAGAUGAGAACUGCAGAACCCAGGUCUGGCCCAAAUAUCCCUUUGCUUUCAGAAUUAAGGAGAGUGCUUGUGCAGAGCAAAGCAAUCGCGGCAAACAACCCCAAAGUGGCUUCCGUGCGCGCUUCUGGCCUCCCUGCUCCAUGACGUGCCCUCCUCAGCCCAGCAGCUUUCUCUUCCAGACCACAGAUUUAUUUAAUUUAGGUCCUGCUGUUGGCAAUGGUCUUGCAAUGGGCUGCGGGUUAGGAAAAAGUCGAGAAUUUUUCCUUAAGCAAAAAGGAGAUGACAUUGCACAGAAAAAUAGAGCGAAAAACAGUUUGUUGGCCGUUUUUCUUCUCUGCCUUGCUUCUGCGUGGGAUGCCAGCAAAAGGAAUUGCAUUUUAGAGUGAUUUAAUAACAAAAUGACUGUUAUUUCUAAUUCUUUGGCCUGCCUCAGAGCAGCAGGGCCACACGAUGGAGCUCUGGGGCUGCCGGAGGAGCCUGCCUGCAUUCACGGGUAAAAAGCCGCUUGGAGACCUUGAAAUUACAUUUCUUAUUAAUUUUUCACUCCGUUUAAUUUUUUUACCUUCAUUUUAAAAUGGGAAACGUUCUCGACGUUGUAACUGUAAAAUGUAACGUACAGCCGCUAGCCGAAGGUAUUUACUUUUGCUUUUUUAAGAUCAGAACUUUUAUUUUUAUCUUUACGGCUGGAACGGGGACGUUUUUCCGUCUCCUGGGAGGCUGCAAUCCCAGAGAUGGUGCUCACCGGAUCAUUCUUCUAAAUGACACCUGACUGCGUGGGGGGGGCUCAGCCCUCGCCAGGUCUGUAUGCAGAUCUCGAGCCCCGGCCUUCUGCUGUGCGUGAGGAAAUAAAUGAUGUUUUGGAGUGCUCCUCGUCCCUGCUGAUCAAUGAACGCUCAGCUGGGAAAAUUUAAACCAGCGGUGCAAUAGGGGGGAAAAAAAAAAAAAAAAGCAGAUUCUUCAGUUAAACAAAAGCGUUUUAAAUCCUAAAUUC